rnacentral:rRNA from 1 species
AGUGAACGCUGGCGGUAGGCCUAACACAUGCAAGUCGAACGGCAGCACAGUAAGAGCUUGCUCUUACGGGUGGCGAGUGGCGGACGGGUGAGGAAUACACCGGAAUCUACUUUUUCGUGGGGGAUAACGUAGGGAAACUUACGCUAAUACCGCAUACGACCUACGGGUGAAAGCAGGGGAUCUUCGGACCUUGCGCGAUUGAAUGAGCCGAUGUCGGAGUAGCUAGUUGGCGGGGUAAAGGCCCACCAAGGCGACGAUCCGUAGCUGGUCUGAGAGGAUGAUCCGCCACACUGGAGCUGAGACACGGUCCACACUCCUACGGGAGGCAGCAGUGGGGACUAUUAGACAAUGGGCGAAAGCCUAAUACAGCCAUACCGCGUGGGUGAAGAAGCCCUUCGGGUUGUAAAGCCCUUUUGUUGGGAAAGAAGAGAAGCAGGUUAAUCCCCCGCUGUUCUGACGGUACCCAAAGAAUAAGCACCGGCUAACUCCGUG